AUCAGUUGCCAUUAUUGCCACAAGUUCACGGAUCUUAUUCCCUAAACUGCGAGCAUUUGUAGACAUUACUCUAAGCUUAUAAUUUUUUAACACAUUUUCUACAGGCACCUUCUGUCCUUGUUUUGGGGGGCAAUUGGAUUGAUGUUUUAUCACCCUUUUGAGAGAGCAUAGCUACCAUGAGAAACAAAGCCAAAUCCUUGCUCCCGACACCAUUCACCAAACCACAAGUUAAAGUCCCUAAUACGCAUCCGCCUGUCAUUCUGAGUGUUAUGGACAGGCAGAACUUCAGAGAAUGACAGUGUGGACGCAACCUGCCGUAUAUCAUUGGCAAAAACACAAAAAACUUCCUUUACCUCUGAAACCUCAUUGCAAGCCAAGUCAUUUGUCCCUAGAUGGACAAGUACAUCCAAUUUCCCCUUUUCUGCUUUGCUCCCUUAACAAUAUUACAAAUAUAUCUCCUGUCUCUCACAAGACCACUAUUGUCCAUCUCCACACCUCCUAUGAUAGAAUCCCCCAACAACAACUGCUUUCUAUUAGGCCUCACCAUAUUCUCCAAAACACCACUACCCUUAGAGCCUGAGCCUGUCUCCAUAACACCACUAUACUUGGUGUCUGAGCCUGUCUCCAUAACACCAUUACACUCUGAAAGUGAUUGAAAAUGAAUUAUGUAGAGCAACAGACUGUGCAAUAUGCCUUUUAUCCACAACUUUAAGUCUACCAGAUCGUACAGUAAUCCAUCUGCCAUUCCUAGUUCGUCUCUGCAGCAGUUCCAGCCUGAGUUUCUUUACCAGAUAAUUUACAAAUCACAGACUUCAAAAAUACAAUCUCCCGCCGCAAUACAGAGAACUGUCUACAGAUUAGACAGCAUCCAAAUUUCCAAAAAGUGGAACGUGAAACAAAUGCACAACUAUUAAAAUGAACUAAGUCUGCCAUUUUAAUGAGGUGAACAAUUUAAAUCAAACAAAUAUUAACAUUUUUUUUUGUCCUCCUGUAUACCUCAGAUUACCUCUAGUUUAUCUCCAGAAUAUCUCCAAUCACACACUUAGAAGCAGCACUAUCCAGAAUAUCUCCAAUCACACACUUAGAAGCAGCACUCAGAUGUAGCAAACAAGUUAUAUUAGCCAAGCUAAUGACCACAACCCUUAUAUAACCCUAAAAGCACUAACCACUAGGAAUGUUUAACAACUGGGUAGGACUAUGCUUAUUUGCAAACAAUAGCUAAUUAAGCAACAUUCAAUAAAUAGCAAGCACCUAGCUAAUCAAAUCAAAUGCCUUACCAAUUACCAACAGAAAAGCAAACCUUGUGCAAUCAGUAACCUUUUCCUAUAGAUGAAUCUUACCUGUAACAGUAAAAAAGAAAACUCUCUACAGGUCUUCUGAGAAGUGGGCCGUAUGUGCAAUCAGCAUGAUGCUGUUCCCCUUGUUUGUUUGUCGGUUUCUAAACACCAUUUGGGGAAAGUGGGAGUCAGACGAGGAUCUUACACUAGAUAGCGUAGAGUGGUGAGGGCAGUGUCUUGUCGGUAUUCCAGGGUGGCAGUAGCUGAUUCGUACCUGCGUGGGCAGUCGGGGUACAUAAUGUAGUCUAAUGGGUAGGUAGACAUGUUAUGUUAGUGCAGUAGUAGGUGUAGGUGAUAUCAUUACAUGAUAGAGAGCCCCUACUGUCCUUUCGGUGGUGUUGGGAUGAUAGCCGCGCU